CAGGUCUUGACAUCCCUCUGACCUCUCUAGAGAUAGAGAUUUCCUUCGGGACAGAGGUGACAGGUGGUGCAUGGUUGUCGUCAGCUCGUGUCGUGAGAUGUUGGGUUAAGUCCCGCAACGAGCGCAACCCCUAUUGUUAGUUGCCAUCAUUCAGUUGGGCACUCUAGCGAGACUGCCGGUAAUAAACCGGAGGAAGGUGGGGAUGACGUCAAAUCAUCAUGCCCCUUAUGACCUGGGCUACACGCGUGCUACAAUGGCUGGUACAACGAGUCGCAAGCCGGUGACGGCAAGCUAAUCUCUUAAAGCCAGUCUCAGUUCGGAUUGUAGGCUGCAACUCGCCUACAUGAAGUCGGAAUCGCUAGUAAUCGCGGAUCAGCACGCCGCGGUGAAUA
rnacentral:rRNA from 1 species